GGCCUCGUAGCUCACUUGGCUAGAGCGUUUUGCCUUCCCUUGCUGGCGUGGGUUCGAAUCCCACCGAGGGCA
rnacentral:tRNA from 1 species